ACUGGACCAAUCAGGGGUCCUUUACCUUUACUUGGUAAAUGUAAAAGUAAAGGUAAAGGACCCCUGGAUGGUUAAGU